rnacentral:rRNA from 1 species
GGAUAACCUGCCCUUAGGACUGGCAUAACCCCGGGAAACUGGGGAUAAUUCCGGAUAGUUCAUGGUAGCUGGAAUGCUCCAUGAUCGAAAGCUAUUGCGCCUAAGGAUGGGUCUGCGGUCUACCAGGUAGUAGUGGGUGUAAUGUACCUACUAGCCGACGACGGAUACGGGUUGUGGGAGCAAGAGCCCGGAGAUGGAUUCUGAGACAUGAAUCCAGGCCCUACGGGGCGCAGCAGGCGCGAAAACUUUACAAUGCGGGAAACCGCGAUAAGGGGACACCGAGUGCCAGCAUCUUAUGUUGGCUGUCCGCAUGUAUAAAUCACAUGUGUUAGCAAGGGCCGGGCAAGACCGGUGCCAGCCGCCGCGGUAACACCGGCGGCCCGAGUGGUGGCCACUAUUAUUGGGUCUAAAGGGUCCGUAGCCGGUUUGGUCAGUCUUCCGGGAAAUCUGACGGCUUAACCGUUAGGCUUUCGGGGGAUACUACCAGGCUUGGGACCGGGAGAGGUAAGAGGUACUACGGGGGUAGGAGUGAAAUCUUGUAAUCCUCGUGGGACCACCAGUGGCGAAGGCGUCUUACCAGAACGGGUCCGACGGUGAGGGACGAAAGCUGGGGGCACGAACCGGAUUAGAUACCCGGGUAGUCCCAGCCGUAAACUAUGCUCGCUAGGUGUCAGGGACGGUGCGACCGUUUCUGGUGCCGCAGGGAAGCCGUGAAGCGAGCCACCUGGGAAGUACGGUCGCAAGGCUGAAACUUAA